rnacentral:rRNA from 1 species
CUUGUUGAGCCCCUUGCAUACAAUUUACUUUCCGUUCGUCAACUUGCACUCAUGGGUUUUGCUACUUUUUUUGACAUUGAUACCGUGGCCCUCUUGUGGAGCAAGACUCUUAAAGUAGCCUUUGUUGGGCAUGUCGAGAACGGUCUCUAUGUGAUAAACUUUUCGGAGCGACCCACUAAGACCGUGACAUGCCUAAUGGCUAAAGUUGACGUGGGAUGGCUUUGGCAUCGCCGUUUAGCCCACGUCAAUAUGAGAUCUUUGCAAAGUCUUCUCAAGGGGGACCAUGUCCGUGGACUAGCAAAUGUUAGUUUUGCCAAAGAUCGUGCUUGCAGUGCUUGUAUUGAAGGAAAGCUUCAUGAGAAGGCUCACCCUCCCACGACCAUCAUCUACUCGAAGAGACCCUUGGAGCUCCUUCACACGGAUCUCUUUGGGCCCCCAUCUUUUGAUAGUCUUGGAGGUAGAAAGUAUUGCUUGGUGAUUGUGGAUGAUUAUUCAAGAUACACUUGGGUAUACUUCUUCAAGAGGAAGAGUGAGACUCAACAAACUGUCAUCAACUUUGCAAAUGAAGCUCAAUGUCAACAUGAUGCAAAGAUCAUGACAAUAAGAAGUGAC